rnacentral:miRNA from 1 species
CCUCGGCAAUGUCACCGACCC